rnacentral:tRNA from 1 species
AUCGGCUAUGACGAGGGGCUGUCGCACCGGAUGAUCGCCGGAGGCGACGCCAUCCUGGUGCCGUCGCGGUUCGAACCCUGCGGGCUGACGC